GCAAAAGCAGCUUACAAUAGAGCAGUAUACAUUAGUAGACAAAAUACUUACGCUGGACAAAUUUAACUAAAUUAACCACAAUAUACACCCUACCAAGUAAUUAAAUUUAUUAGUAUAUAUCAUAACAUGAGUUCAUUAGGUUUUAUUACAAAUAAUUAGUAUUUACAAUUUACAUUAAGAGGUACUUAGCAAUUCUUAUUAUGUAAAAUAAUGUUUAUUUUUGUUAAUCUGUAUGGAUAUCAUAAGUAUUGGAUUAGAAAUUUGAAUAUUUUACUUAUUUUGUGUGUGAAGUCUAUUUUCACUAUAUUUAUUUUAUUUUAUUAACACCAAAUAGCAUUAUAUAAAGAAUAAGUGAAAAUACAUAAAUUAUGGUGAAAUGAUAACAAUACAAAUUUAUUUUUGACAGAAUUAAAACUAAGAUCAUUACAUGCAAAAAGUGAAUAAAACAGUAUAUUAACAAACAAUAUAAAAGCAAAUAUAUACAAAAUAAACUAGGUGGCUUUAUUGGUACGGCGAAGUAUGCGGUGUAAAGGAUGGUUGUGAUUGUAGGAGGUGGAGUAGGUAGGGAUAUUAAAGGGUGUAUGAUAUUUUGAGGGGUAAGUAGGAACAAGGAAAUUAACAGAGGAAAGGUGGUCUGGGGCAUCUAUUUUUAACGGGCCUAAUGUAACGAUGUUGUCUUAGAAAAAAAACUUGAUAAAAAUAAAUAAACUCCAACUUGAGUGUUAUAAAUAAAUAAUAUUUCCAUAUAAAAUAUUACAAUAAACUGUGUUCAAUUAAUUCAAACAACACAAAUACACAAGUUUAAUAAAUAAAUUCACAAAAAUAAUACAAGUCCAAAUAACAAUAAAUAGAGUAAUGCGAAAUUGGUCACAUUUGAUUGUGGUAGACUCGUCUGAUUUGACAAUGUUAUAUAUUCUAAUGCUUAUUUAUAGUGGCUGCUAUCUAUAUUUUAUUGCUGGCACCGGCUAAUACCAAAAAUUAUAUUAUAUUAUGUUACAACCCAGGCCCACUCAUUUUAUUUUUAUAUGUAUUUUUUUUUUAUUAAAUUUAGAAUAUGGCUGGUGUAGGUUCGUGUGCCGAAACUAUAUUUGGGUGCUGUGUAUUUUUACAUGCCUACUGGUAGGUAUUCGGUUCCAUAUGUGGUGAUUAGCACCAUAUACAGCCUGCCUCUUGCUGGGGGCACGUGUGGGCACAUAACAUAUUGAAUCAUCAAGUAGACUUUGAAUAAAACAAAAAUCAGUAUCAAUUUGUUGAAAAGAAAGCGUGGAGAUCUUUAGUUUUAAAAGUAUAGUAGUAGUUAUGUUGUGGAUGCACAAUUUUAAGUAGGGAAUAGAUAUAUGAAAGAAACCUAUUCUGGACUGUCUCUAGUCUUAACUGGUCUUUCACUAAAUGAGAGUGUCAAACUAUUAUACAGUACUCUAAAAUUGGGUGUACAAGGAAUAGGUUAAGUGUACAAAGACAGUGGACAGAGCUAAAUAUUUUAGUGUUACGUUUUAAGAAACCCAGGACUUUCAGUGCUUUGCAGACAGUAACAUUAAUGUGGUGGUUUUUUAAAUUUAAAUUCCUCAGGUAUUAUAUGUAAGUUCCUACAUAUUUCAAUAAUAAUUAAAUUAUUUGUAUAAUUUGUAAUAAAGUUUGAGAUGAACAAUCACGCAAUAUUUCAUAGUUUACUUAAAAGGAUGCAUAUUAAACAUUAAAUAAAAAUAAUACUAUUCUUAAAAAAUAUUGAGAAUUAACAAAUACCUACCUACCUUCAAAAAAAUAAAACCUUACUAGAUACCUAUCUAUGACAAAAUAAUUUUAUUUUUAGAUUUAUUUAAGAUAAAAAUAACCAAAAAACAAUUAAGUACAUUACCUAUACUGUAUAGGUAGCCAGGUAGGUAACCUUUACAUGACAGCACAAAACAAUUUUUUGACAUGGUUUAAUACAAAAAAAAAACUUGCAACAUGUAUUCAUGUAAUUAUAUGGUAUAACAUUUAUUAAUUAUUAAUAAAAUAAUGAACAUAUAAUACAAAAACCGUAAAAUGUCCUAUAGCACUUGUAUAAAAUGAGCAUGACUAAUGUUUGUAGCACACUGUUGGAAGUUACAAAUUUGGGACAUUUUUUAUCUGUCCAGCUGUAAUCGGUGUUCUUACUCUAAUGUUCUUGUCUAUGAGAUAUAUCUGGUUGUUAUCUCGUGAUGCUGAACCACACAAUGUCUGUCUUAGAAAUAUGUUGGUAGUCGAGAUAAGAGGAAAGUACCCUAGUUUAAAUUUAAUAUGAACUUUGUGAAGGUAAAUAAUAUCUAAUGUUUUGUAAAUGUAAAAUGUACAUUUUUUAGGGAUAGAUAUGCACUUUAUGCAAAAAGUUUGUUGUAUUAAAUACUUCACACAACUGUACUGAUGAUACAAAAUUAUAAACUAGUAUUAGUACUAGUAAGUUGUACUAUUGAUUUUAAAGUUAAUACCUACUAGUAGAACAUAAUUGGUUAUUUUUUAACAGAUAUAUUUAUAUUCUAGAAUAAUUUUUUAAUCAAAUAUAUUCUGGG
rnacentral:lncRNA from 1 species